CAAUAGCGUAUAUUAAAGUUGUUGCAGUUAAAAAGCUCGUAGUUGAAGUUCUGGUUGCUCAGGCUUCUAGCCAUUAGGCGGGAGUUCUGACAAUCAUCCGCUUGCAAGUAUAUGUUCGAUCUUUACCGGUUGGCUAUAUGAGUAAGCAUUUUACCUUGAGAAAACAGAGUGUUCCAGGCAGGUUUGUCCGGAAUGCAUUAGCAUGGAAUAAUAGAACAUGACUGAAGUCUAUUUAUUGGUUGCGGACUACAGUAAUGAUUAAUAGGAACAGUCGGGGGCAUUCGUACUCAGCAGUCAGAGGUGAAAUUCUAAGAUUUGCUGAAGACGAACUAAUGCGAAAGCAUUUGCCAAGGAUGUUUUCAUUAAUCAAGAACGAAAGUUAGGGGAUCAAAGACGAUCAGAUACCAU
rnacentral:rRNA from 1 species